AGACCCGAAACCCGGUGAUCUAGCCAUGGGCAGGUUGAAGGUUGGGUAACACUAACUGGAGGACCGAACCGACUAAUGUUGAAAAAUUAGCGGAUGACCUGUGGCUGGGGGUGAAAGGCCAAUCAAACCGGGAGAUAGCUGGUUCUCCCCGAAAGCUAUUUAGGUAGCGCCUCGUGAAUUCAUCUCCGGGGGUAGAGCACUGUUUCGGCUAGGGGGCCAUCCCGGCUUACCAACCCGAUGCAAACUGCGAAUACCGGAGAAUGUUAUCACGGGAGACACACGGCGGGUGCUAACGUCCGUCGUGAAGAGGGAAACAACCCAGACCGCCAGCUAAGGUCCCAAAGUCAUGGUUAAGUGGGAAACGAUGUGGGAAGGCCCAGACAGCCAGGAUGUUGGCUUAGAAGCAGCCAUCAUUUAAAGAAAGCGUAAUAGCUCACUGGUCGAGUCGGCCUGCGCGGAAGAUGUAACGGGGCUAAACCAUGCACCGAAGCUGCGGCAGCGAACGUAUCACCCAAGACAA
rnacentral:rRNA from 7 species